rnacentral:lncRNA from 1 species
GGAAAGGGAAAUUAACUGCAAUAACAACCGAAAAAGGCCCUGCCUUCGUCCCUGCUUCGGGGUCCCAAUUACAAAGCCAAAGCUACGAAUGAAUUGUCCAGCGGAAAAGUUGAAAGUCAGAAGAGGAAAGCGACGUCUAGCACCUGGGAAAGAGAAAACUAAAGCUCCUGUUUUUGAUUCAAUGUCAAUCUAGCUAUCUAAUUUGCUGCCGAAGAGAAAACCAAAAAGAAACGACGGAAAGCGUAAGAAGAGAAAAAAGCGUCCGACCGCUGACAGACGUAGGAAAAGAAAACUAAGCCUAAAAAAAUAGAUUCCCCCAAUCUUGCUUUGUCCUUUUCUUUUUAUAGCCGCCGUCCAAGAAGAGUCAAAAAAAGAAACGUCUGGUGCAAAGCCUAGUGUUGUCUCCAGAGUUCUGAUCCCACGCUCCGGGUUCACGUGGACCACGGUCCGUCUUUCGGUUUCGUCCACCUUCCAAGGCGUGGCCACGCCCUGGAACGGCAAGUCUUCUGGAAAUUCACCCCGCGAGAUCAUUUUUCAUGCCUACCACCUACAAUUCACACAAAUAUCGAAUAUGAGUGAAAUUCCAAUUCUUAGUACCGUGAAUAGCCAAAAUUAGGACAAGAUAGUAGUGCAAAAUACGCCAAAUAACCGUUCUAUCAGGAACCAAGAAAGAAUCAAACUAAAACUCUGCUAAAAGCUAAGUUAAAAACUCUUGAUAAGAGUUCUCUGGACGUCUGUUUCUUUUUUAAAGCCAAAGAUGACUAAUGCUAUCUAGUCCCGUGGUCCCCGCAGAAAUUGAGAGUCCAACUCUAGAAGAAAAGCUAGCCGACUAAGAGAAAAAAGAUACAAAGAGGUGGGGCCUGCCGAAUUGCUUAUUGUGUUCUAUUGAUAGUAGGACUUCUCGUAUGAGUUCUCCUCAUCAGCACAAAGGUAGGAAAUUAGUUUUGUUCUCUCCUUGUGGGCCAGGUCGAUGGAGAUUUUUUUGAAGUCUCCAACUUAUGGAAUAAGUCUCUUCUUUUUGUAGUUUUCUGCUCCAUUCCCUGAAAUUAAAUCCAAAUACUAAAUAUAAGUAAAUAUUAACAAUUAAAACAAUAUUUGACAGGAAUAAAAGGGAAAAUUAGUAAUAAAAUUGCUAACAAAUAAUACCCUAUCAAUUCCCCCCACACCUGAAUUGCCCUCAAGCAUAGGAACAACAAUUGAACACCAAAAAUUCGACAAUAGCUAUUGCUCCAACUACCAUAUUGCCAAGAUACCAUGAAAACACAUAUCAAGCAUCAAUUGUCAAAAUCCAAGAGACAUCUCCUCGGUUAGUUUCCAAACCGCAGACUCUUCUAAUUUAUGGCUAACUAUUCUAAGAAAAAAAAAAUGGUCGAUCAACAUUUAUCAGCAAAUGGUCCAACUAUUAACCAAAUUCUCAACAUAAAACCCAUAGAUCAGACGGCUAACUUUAUACACACACUUACACAACCUUCACCUUUUUUAUCACGUUUUUCUAUUUUUCUCUUUUUUUUUUCUUUUUUUUCAGAAUAGCAAAAGACUUAAUCUCUAGCCAUUAGAGCCUUUUGACGCGAACUCCAACAUUUGCCAGAUGAAGGAGCCCGGUUACUCAGUUUCGAUCGCUAUGCGACCACACACUCAUAGCAAUUAUUACCUUUUGACGCGAGAAUCGACACUUUAGGUGAAGAUCCCCGGUUACUCAGUAGUAAUAACUAGCGGAGUACAGUUAACUCUUAUUUACAACCAUAUAGCACAAUAACUAAAAAUAACACAAAAAUAACAGCAGCCAGCCUCAAAUUUCCAAACAUGGAGAACUAAAAUUAAUAACUGGACCAAUUCACAUGAAAAAUGCCAAUAAUCAUUCCCUAUACCUAGAAAAGUUAACCAAAAAUUGGAAAAGUUAAGCAAUUAUUGAUAUUCACCAAAGAGAUGUUCCUGAACUUAACCACAUCAACUUGAUACCCUUUUAUUACUAAAACUUGGCAAUGGCAGAAUUAGAGACAACAAUCCAGCAUCAAAACUUGGUAUUCAUAUAAAAACUGAUCACUAGAAAGAAAAAGAAAAGAAAAUAAAUGAAAGAUAGGCAAAAACUAACUAAAAAUAAAGGAAAAGCCCCUAGAAACUAAAAACAAAAAUACUAGCACCACAACGAUCCCCCCCACACCUAAUUCACACAUUGCCCUCAAUGUGAUAAUGUAAAAGCAGAAGGAAGGAGAGGGGCAACGGUACUUCCCUGAAGUCAUCAAAAUAGGGGCGGUUCAGGUGGAAAUUGUGGAUCAACUCGCAUCUAGAGUUGGUGCCAUUCGUGGUUUCACCAUGGACUCUAGAUAUCACUCUAAGCAACAAUAGACUACAAUUGCCAACAAAUAAUGGAAGCUGGAAAUUCAAAGCAAUAACAAUUUUAAAACCAACCCAACGAACAAAAUGCACAAUUUAAUCACCCAGAGGACAUACAAAUACCCCAACACUUAUAGCAAAUGCAAUUGAUAAGCACUUGUGGUCCCAAUUCAGUCAGAUGUAGAAACAAAGCAGUCCGAAUGUGCAACAACUGCUCCAAAGACUUGAGUAAUUAAAAUUGAUGGGCAGAUUACUCCAAGCAAGUCAAUUAAUCCAAGCAAGUCAAUUAGAUGCAACAAAUGAGCAAUAGGCAACGGAAGUGUCACAGUAGCUUCCCAAAUCAACAAACAACCACAGAAAGUAGCUGCCCACACUAUCAGAACACGGCUCCCAACAAUGCAACAAAAUAAUCAAUAAUCACAGGAAGCCCCACUAUUGUAAGAACCAGCAAAAACAAUUCAAUAAGCAAUGAUGUCCGCAAAUGCAGACAAAUACCAAACCUUUCCACACAAAUUCUCAGUAAAUGCCUCCAAAGGUGUAGUUGGCCGCAAAACGCGCACCCUAAAUUGUGGCAAACGCCCCCAACAAGUCAAUUAAAAGCAACUAAGAGCAAUAACAGAAGUAACCCGACCAAAGGCAUAGCAAUGGUCUCAAGACAGAAAGCAACAAAAUAGAGCUCAAGUGCUACCAUAGACGACCUCAACAAAGUAAUGGAUUCAAGCAAUUUGAAUGAGGAGAAUACGGUCAGAGGUCCCCUCAAAUACCAAUUCAAAUAGGCUAACCCAACCCACUAAGAAAUCCAAACAACACUGAACAACACCCCAAUAUCAGUCAAACCUCAUCAAUAGCAAGUAAUCGAAAUAACGGGUUCCACCAAAUAAAUGAAAAACCUGGCACCAGGGUGGGCAAGUGCGGUGGGUGAGAGGGAGCUUGGAGCUUGGAGCUUGGAGUGGUGGCGCGAGUUGGCGGUGCUCGGGGAGUUGAAGCUGAAGUCGCGCGUGAGGGAAAGGCCGCCGUGGCUCGCGGCGUGCGGUGGUGCGAGGUGAGCUAAGCAGCAGCGGUGGACAGCGCCUGAUAGCUCGCGACGGAGGGGUCCAAGGCGGCAGAGUGCGAAGGAGAGCUGGUGGCGAGGAAAGAGGGAGAUAGGACGGGCGGCGGUGAUGGAGGAAGGCGUCGGCCGAAGAAGAAAGGAAAAGGAGAAAAGGGGAAGCGGGGAAGAAGAGGGAGAAAAGGGAAAGAAAGAAAGAAAAGAAAGAAGGA